GAUGAACGCUGGCGGCGUGCCUAAUACAUGCAAGUCGAGCGAACGGAUGAGAAGCUUGCUUUUCUGAUGUUAGCGGCGGACGGGUGAGUAAUACGUGGAUAACCUACCUAUAAGACUGGGAUAACUUCGGGAAACCGGAGCUAAUACCGGAUAAUAUUUUGAACCGCAUGGUUCAAAAGUGAAAGACGGUCUUGCUGUCACUUAUAGAUGGAUCCGCGCUGCAUUAGCUAGUUGGUAAGGUAACGGCUUACCAAGGCAACGAUGCAUAGCCGACCUGAGAGGGUGAUCGGCCACACUGGAACUGAGACACGGUCCAGACUCCUACGGGAGGCAGCAGUAGGGAAUCUUCCGCAAUGGGCGAAAGCCUGACGGAGCAACGCCGCGUGAGUGAUGAAGGUCUUCGGAUCGUAAAACUCUGUUAUUAGGGAAGAACAUAUGUGUAAGUAACUGUGCACAUCUUGACGGUACCUAAUCAGAAAGCCACGGCUAACUACGU
rnacentral:rRNA from 1 species